AUGGCCAUGCUGCACGCCCCCGCCAGGAGGCCCGCGAACCCGGACACGACCAUGGCGCGCGCGUCGGGCUUGACGGCGCUGACGCCGAGCAUGAGGGACGCCGUGGAGACCAGCCCGUCGUUGGCGCCCAGCACCGCCGCCCGCAGCCAGUUUGCGCGCCCCGCGAAGUCGAUGGACGACUCGGAGUCGUCGACGUUGCCGCACACCACAGCCGGGUUCUCAGCGUCGGCCACGGCGGCCAGCUUGGUGUCGUUCACGGCCAUGGCGACUAGGAGCUUGUGA
rnacentral:rRNA from 1 species